GACGAGCGCUGGCGGCGUGCUUAACACAUGCAAGUCGAACGGUAAGGCCCUUCGGGGUACACGAGUGGCGAACGGGUGAGUAACACGUGGGUGAUCUGCCCUGCACCUCGGGAUAAGCCUGGGAAACUGGGUCUAAUACCGGAUAGGACCACUGCCUGCAUGGGUGGUGGUGGAAAGCUUUUGCGGUGUGGGAUGGGCCCGCGGCCUAUCAGCUUGUUGGUGGGGUGAUGGCCUACCAAGGCGACGACGGGUAGCCGGCCUGAGAGGGUGACCGGCCACACUGGGACUGAGAUACGGCCCAGACUCCUACGGGAGGCAGCAGUGGGGAAUAUUGCACAAUGGGCGCAAGCCUGAUGCAGCGACGCCGCGUGAGGGAUGACGGCCUUCGGGUUGUAAACCUCUUUCAGCACCGACGAAGCGCAAGUGACGGUAGGUGCAGAAGAAGGACCGGCCAACUACGUGCCAGCAGCCGCCGCCGUAA
rnacentral:rRNA from 1 species